CCUACGGGGGGCAGCAGUGGGGAAUAUUGGGCAAUGGGCGAAAGCCUGACCCAGCAACGCCGCGUGAAUGAAGAAGGUCUUAGGAUUGUAAAACUCUGUCCUCUGGGAAGAAAAAAACGAUGGUACCAUAGGAGGAAGCGCCGGCUAACUACGUGCCAGCAGCCGCGGUACUACGUAGGGGGCGAGCGUUGUCCGGAAUUAGUGGGCGUAAAGGGAGCGUAGGCGGCACUACAAGUCUCAUGUGAAAUACUCGGGCUUAACUUGGGGGUUGCAUGGGAAACUGUAGGGCUUGAGUGCAGGAGAGGCAAGCGGAAUUCCUAGUGUAGCGGUGAAAUGCGUAGAUAUUAGGAGGAACACCAGUGGCGAAGGCGGCUUACUGGACUGAAACUGACGCUGAGGCUCGAAAGCGUGGGGAGCAAACAGGAUUAGAUACCCUUGUAGUC
rnacentral:rRNA from 1 species